CCUACGGGGGGCAGCAGUGGGGAAUAUUGCACAAUGGGCGAAAGCCUGAUGCAGCGACGCCGCGUGAGCGAUGAAGUCCUUCGGUUCGUAAAGCUCUGUCCUCAGGGAAGAAAAUGACGGUACUUGAGUAGGAAGCCCCGGCUAACUACGUGCCAGCAGCCGCGGUAAUACGUAGGGGGCUAGCGUUAUCCGGAAUUACUGGGCGUAAAGGGUGCGUAGGUGGUUUCUAAAGUCAGAGGUGAACGGGUACGGCUCAACCGUAGUAAGCCUUUGAAACUGGGCAACUUGAGUGCAGGAGAGGAGAGGGGAAUUCCUAGUGUAGCGGUGAAAUGCGUAGAUAUUAGGAGGAACACCAGUGGCGAAGGCGGCUCUCUGGACUGUAACUGACAUUGAGGCACGAAAGCGUGGGGAGCAAACAGGAUUAGAUACCCGUGUAGUC
rnacentral:rRNA from 1 species